rnacentral:misc_RNA from 1 species
UCAGCUUCUGGGUUUCCUAAUAGGUCAGUGCCAGCAGCUCAAUUGUUAAUUACAUCAGUUUUCAAUUUCUCAGUUAUAUCUUGACGUAAUUCUCCAUGGUGUGGGUACAAUCUGUGAACUGCUAAAAAUGAUGAUUCAAUCUAUUUAAAAGGUUUCUUAUGGGAAAAUGUGGAAGGGAGGUGUAUGCAAUGGUUCUGUAAUAUGGAUAAGGAUGGUUGCCUGCCACUUGUACAUGUUAACCAAUGAUUCCAUUGUAUGGGUAAUGUUUCUGCGAUGGAUAAUGGAAAUUUUAACUACUGAAACUCCAUCUUGUUCUGUGGUUGGGCGAUGAGCUAGAGUUUAUUUCAGUUACCUUAAGUCCUUAACCCUUUAUUCAACGAAACAUAUCCAUCGUGCACUUAAGUUUUGGAUUUUGUGGUCUUUUCAGUAUUGAAGAAAUGUCAUAUAGGUUUUGAAAAACAUUUGAAGAUGUUGUAUAGUUUUAUGGUAGCAGGAUCGCUUAGCUUCAAGUUUUCAAAAACAGUUAUGUUAUAAUUUUAAAUGUUUGGUUUGCUAGUUGCUACUCUGUCCAUUAGUAGGGCUGAACAGUUUUUGGUUUAAACUGAAAAACCUUACCGAACUGAGCUAAUUUGGUUCCAUCGGUUCGGUUUUUUGGAUUAAUUGAUCUGGUUCGGUUUAAGCUUUUAUGGAAAUUCGGUUUUUUAGUUUGAUUUGGUUAAUUUAGUAAAAAAACUGAACUAACCGAAUCGAUUCCCACCCUUAUUGUGUUGUUUUGAGUUGUCCAUCUAUAAAACCUUGCCUCCAAGUUAUGUUCAGUUUUCUUCGUUCUUCCUUCGUUCUCUACCAAUUUCUCUUUGUUCUCGAUCUUCCUUUUGUCUCAGUUCGUUCUUUCUUUGUGCUUUCACCUUACUCAUUCUCUGGUUCCUCUUUGUCAUUCCUCCCCAGAUUAACUUUAAUUUGAUUCUUCCUUUCAUUUUUCAUAAUUUCUCUCCAGAUUCCUUUGUCUCGUUCUUCCUUGCCUUGUCAAUUUGGGUUCUUCCUUUUCUGAGGUGAAUGACAACAAGUGUUCUUCGAGAUUCUUUUAGUUCUUCCUUCGAUGGAUUGUUGAAAUACUGUUGAAGCAUGUUGAAAUACUGUUGAAGCAUGUUGCAAUCUGUUUUCUGAGGUUUGUUUGUUUGAAAUUUUUUUAAUUUCUUGAUUAGUAGUUGCUGAGUUGUUCAUCUGUAGACUGUAAACUAUGCUAUAGAUUGUUCAUUUGGAUAGAAAUCUGCGGACACCUGGAUCCAGCAAGUAAAAUCUAAUAGCCCAAAAGAGUUUGUUGCCCAUGAGUAUGUCACCCCUCGAAGUGUACUUUGGAUAGAAACUAAACUCAGAUAUGCAAAAUGCAUUUGAACUUUACAUUAUUUUUUUAGCAAAUUUUGCAAUGUGCAGAUCAUAAAAGCUACAUGGACUCGAGCUCUAUGAAGUGGUCCCAAAGACAACGCUG